CAGUAACCAAGCUCCUUUGUUCCCCAAUCUUGUCCGGCCAAAUUCGUCGCCGUGGUGCACUCUUGGCCCGAUUCCUCGCAGCCACGGCGCCUACUCGUCAUCCCGCAUCCAUUUUGCUACUUCCCGGGCUCCCUCCCUCACCGGACGACGCCCUCCAUAGGAGCUCCUCCACCGCCCCCUUCCUGUGCCGUUCCUCCCUAUGCGCCGCCCAUCUCCACGCGUCUGACUCCCUUCCGGUGAGCCUCCUGGCCCCGUGCGCCGCCCCUCUCCCUCCCCAAGCCGCCCCUUCUCUUUCCCCCACCUUCGGUCCCAAGUCCAUGGCCGGCCGUGCCUGUUCCCGUGCGUGCGUGCCUGUGUUGUGUACUGUUGGUGCGUGGGGGGCUUCAUUGGAGAAGAAGAAGGAAGUGUAGGGGGUUAAGGGGAAGUUUCAGGGAUGUUUGCGCAUUUAACCCGUAGACCCAGGGGGUAGAUCGUAAGAUCAUCUCGGUUUUGUUUGUUCUCUGGAUCUAAAACGGCUGAAAGUUUAAAAAUUCAUAGUAAAUUGUAGAAAAAACGUAAAAUAUCAAAUGAGGACUUUUUGGAAUCCUUGAGAGAAUAAUUACACAGUAGAGUUAUAAUAUAAUAUAUUUUAGUAGAAAGUUUCUGAUGUUUUUAUUUAUUCUUUCAAAGUGCUUUUAGAAAUCCUUUUAAGUUGUUAGAUGCACAUCUUGAGUUAUAGAAGUCCAAAACUUGUGAUUCCAGUUGUGUUGGUCUUGUGAUGACACCCUCUAGCUAAGAAAAAUAUUAAACAUGCUAGUUGUGUACUGUUUUUAACAUGUUUUGAUUUAAUCUUGAUAAAUAGGCAAAUUCUAGCUUGCCGUGCUUAUCAUUUUCAUAUCUAAAGUUGUGGCGCUCCAAUUUCUGUGAAAUUUUUAUGGUAGGCUAUAAAUGAUGCUCUUGAGCUGUGGUAAAAAUGUCAUUGAUUGGUGCAUGUAUGACUGAGUUAUUGUUUUAACCUGUUUAUUGCUUCAUAAAUGGUUUUAAAUAAGUUAUAACUUUCAUGUAGGUGUAAAAAUGGGAAAUGUGGUUCCACUACCUUUGUAUGAUGUUCUUCUACCCUAAUAACAUUUUAUAUGGCUAUGUGUUUAUAGAAAUGAUGAUCUUUAGAUUUAUCUUGCUUUUACAUGCUUUCUUGCAAGAGCAAUUUAUCUUUUUCGUAGCAACUAAAUUAUACCACUUGAGCAUGUGAGAUUUAUACAGUAGCCAUGUUUUGAUAACAUCUAUCAUCCAUAAAAAUCUCAGCUCCCAAUGAGAUGUUUUCCACAUCACCUAUAAUUAAUAUAUAUGCUUACUAUAUAAUUGGAUGAUGAAAGUUUGCUAGUAGAUGCAUAUACUUAGGUCAUGUGAAGCUUUUAAUCAUUAUUUUUGAGGGGUACAUAUGAUGCUAAGUUAUGAUAAGUAGUGGUUAAGCUUUGAAUAUGACUCAUAUGUAUGCUCUCAUGUUAAGAUAACAACUACUUAUAUAAGUUCUUCACCUUUGCUUUGAUUCUUGCUUAAGGUAUUUAGGGUGUUCCAUGUUACCUAAAGCUAAUGCUAAUUAACUAUGUUCAUAGUAUUUGUGAGCUAUGUGUUUAACUUAUGCAUAUGUUACCUUGUUAAAGAACUAAAUGAAGAACCUUGUUGCAUAUGUACUGAAAUGGCUGCUAGAGCAGUUCUGUUGUGGUAAUAUUUUCAUGAUGCAAAUGAUGUUUUCUAUAAAUAUGGUGAACACAAAAGUUGUAGGUAACUUCAUAAUAUAGCUUGUGUUAAAUGUUUAUGACCAUAAGCCUGAUGGUUUAGGAGCUAUAGAUUUUACAAGUUCAUUGUUAGAUUUUGCAUGCUCUAUGUAUAGGUCUGAAUGAUUGCAUUGUUUGACUUAACUAAGCUUUGAACCAUAUCUUGGAGACAAUAUAAUAAGUGUACUGGUUUUCAUAAGCUUUCCAAAUUAUUAUAGAUCACCCCUUUUGGUGGUCUAAAUCUCCGGUUAUGAGCUUGUGAAGUGGAAUGACAGAAUCUGUCCUAAUCUGGACAGAGAUGUCUUCUUUGUGACAUUUGACCUAGUUAACUUUAGUUUUAGCUUGUGGUGUUUACAAAAAAGUUGUGCAUGGUUUGUUAAGCUUUCUAAAAAGUCUAGAAUCACCUUGUUGUGAAAACUAGAACUCAACUUAUGGCUGUCUAAAGUUUAAUGUCACCAUCUGUCCAAGUUUGGACAGGUUUGCUUCUUUGUGUUGUGUAAUCUUGUUAACUGUUGAGUCACUAAAAGAUGAUAAGAUGAACGUUAUAGAUAACUUAAUAAGCUUUCUAUAAAGUUAAGGAUCAUGGUUGUUGGAGGUCUAGAACUCCAUUUAUGCAUCUCUGAAGUUCAUGUCGGUUUUCUGUCCUUGUUUGUACAGAUCUGCUCUUUGGUGUGUUUUCACCUUAUUAGUUGUUGAAUUAGUUUUUUGUGUGAAUAAUAAAGAUUUAGAUAAUUUCAUUAGCUUUACAGAAAGUCUAGGAUUACCCUUUUUGGAUGCUUAUAUCUCUAGAUUUGGUGUAUGUGCUUAAGUUAUUAGCUUUAACUUGGCAUUGCCUUAUAUGUUUGUUAGUUAGCUCAUAUCACUAUUAGAGUUAAAUUGAUCUACCUGAGAAUAUUAUAAAUGUGUUAUAUAAUGUUAGUCAAGCACUUAACUAAUAAAUGGUCAUGUAUACAUGUUGCUAUGAAAUAACCUUGCUGCAUAGCUUGCUAGAACCUUAGUGAUGUUGGUGUGUGACUUGCUUAUGUAUGAGUGGUUUAAAAACAAAUGUAAUAUACUUUGAUCACCUUCAACUUGUUGGUUGUGUGAUGCACUUAUAUAUGCCAUGUUGAUAAGCACCAUUACCCUAGUUCUUGUAUGAUGCUAGGCUUAAUUAGCUCUUGAUUGUUAAAUGCUUGCAAUAGCUUGACUUGAGUUAACUAGUGUGCCGUGCUUGUUAGGCUUGCUAUCUGUAUGGAGACUUGAGUGAUAGUUAGUUAAAGAACUUGCUCUCUAAGUGCUUAUAUCUUGUGGUGUAACCUUGUGCGUGUCCUGAAUGCUUUUGUGUGAUGCAUCUCUUUUUACCGUUCUUCGUAUUCAUGCUGUUGCAUCUUGCAUCUCAUCUAGAUACGCUAGAUAAACCACGUGAAGGACGUGAUGAUGGAACCGAACCCAAAGACAGUGUAUGGUGGAGCUAUCCCGAAGAUGGAAGGACUAAGCAUGUGCCGAGAUGGGAGAUGCUCACCAAGCGAGUGUCGUCUAACAAACACUAACCUAGUGUGGAUUUCAGGCAAGCCCCGGUGCAUGAAUUCCCUAUUUUAAAUUUAUGCCAAUUGUUGAUGCUUAUGAUUGUGAAUUUACGUUUGUAGGAUUUGAUUGAAAUCGUAGAUGCAUGAACUUAGUACCUUGAUCUGAAUACUAGUUGCUAAGGUCGAGUAGUUGCAAUGCUUAAUAGGUCUGGGUAAAAGUCGAGUGAUUUCCUGUCACUCGUGAGUUAUAGGAGUUGAAUAUUUUAUUUAUGUUGCAACUAUAAGGAUGACGGAUGGGGUCGGGCUUAUGUUCGAUACUUGGUGGAUUGCCCCGUCUGUCUAAAAGAAAUUGGACUAUGGUCGAAACGUGUCGGCGCUCGUGAUCAAGUGUUUGAAAGUACUAAUCUCAUACCUAGUAUGGGAUGGGGAAGCCUACUACCUGAUUGAACUAGGGCAUGUCAUACUCCCCCGGCUGUCCUUGGAACGUCAUUCCCAUGGUGCAUCAUGUGGGUUCAAGUGCGGUCAUGGUACGGCAGAGGCUGGGAUUAUGGAGCAUUGCAUGCCAAAGGCAGUUGGCCCUGACAUGUGCCUAAGGGAUCGAUGGGGACGGCUAACAAAUGAAGCGACCCUUCGUGGUGCACGGAUAUCGUGAGAAUAGGUUCGCCAUGCAUGGUUAAUAAAUUCGAAUCGAUUCGUCUACCUCUCACAAUUUGGGACUACUUGAUCGCUAUUCUGUACUGAGUAAAGAUGGAACAUGAUGAUGAUAUUAAUCUUGAUGCUUGUUCUUUAAUUGCUUGAAAACUAUGCUUGCUUAGUAUAAGUUGCUAAUCUAGACUGGUUAAUGAACUUAGAACUUGAGCUAAAAUAUUGAAAGUAAGGACCAACUUUAGUCGUUUUUGGCAAAAACAAACCCACCGCCAAAAAGCCUUGCAUGUCUAGGAGUCAGUGGAGUAGUUACCACCUGACGGGUAAGCCUUGUUGAGUAUUAGUAUACUCAGCCUUGCUCGUGGCUUGUUUUUCAGGUGUGGUUGCUGGUGUUGUCUUGUUCGGGACCCAUCCUUGGUCGGCGAGGACAGGGGUCAUUGAUGUCAUGAUCAGGCUUCGUCAUGAUAUCGUGUAUCGACGUUUAGCUUCCGCUUGUUUUACUUCUUCGUUGUUUGAAACCUUGCAAAUUCUAUUUGAAUUUUGAAAACUCUGAUGUAAUAAAAUGUUGAACUAUAUUUUUGUGAUGGGAAUGUUGUAAUCUUUGUGCCCACUCACUUUCAUGUGAGCAAUGCUUCUCGAUCCCGAGUAAGUGGUUUAUCGGAUGAAAUCCGACGGACGACCAAGUUGACCUGCUUAAAGUGCAUGAUCGCUUGUCAGGCGACUUAAGUGCAUUUUAGUCAGGUUAAUUUGGGUGGCUCUGCCAUAGCUUGUCACUUCCAUAGGAUAUCGGAACAUCCGGUGCUAUAGUGUUUCCUCUGCCUCCUCUGAGAAUUGCUCUGAUGCUUGUAGAAAUGUGACCAUCGAAACAUCCGAUGGUUAACUUUCACUUGACUUCAACGCUCCGGUGGAUACUCCGACACUCAUCUUGGGUACCAUCGGAACAUCCGAUUUGCACACUGAAGUGUCGUU
rnacentral:lncRNA from 1 species